GGGUGAAUAGUUUAAUUGGGAGAACGUAGCCGUUGCACUAGAAGCUAAGGCGGUAGAUCGAACCUACCUUCACCUA